rnacentral:tRNA from 2 species
GCGCCCUUAGCUCAGCUGGAUAGAGCACGUCCCUUCUAAGGAUGUGGUCGCAGGUUCGAAUCCUGCAGGGCGCA